rnacentral:tRNA from 1 species
GGCCCCAUCGUCUAGCCCGGUCCAGGACGCCGGACUCUCAUUCCGGUAACAGGGGUUCGAAUCCCCUUGGGGCUACCA